rnacentral:rRNA from 1 species
UGGGGAAUAUUGCACAAUGGGGGAAACCCUGAUGCAGCAACGCCGCGUGAAUGAUGAAGGCCUUCGGGUCGUAAAGUUCUUUGAUUGGGGACGAUAAUGACGGUACCCAAAAAACAAGCCACGGCUAACUACGUGCCAGCAGCCGCGGUAAUACGUAGGUGGCGAGCGUUGUCCGGAUUUACUGGGCGUAAAGGAUGCGUAGGUGGAAACUUAAGUGGGAUGUGAAAUCCCCGGGCUCAACCCGGGAACUGCAUUCCAAACUGGGUUACUUGAGUGCAGGAGAGGAAAGCGGAAUUCCUAGUGUAGCGGUGAAAUGCGUAGAUAUUAGGAAGAACACCAGUGGCGAAGGCGGCUUUCUGGACUGUAACUGACACUGAGGCAUGAAAGCGUGGGGAGCAAA